UCACAGCUCAACUGUGAAUCGGCAAUGGAAACUGAAAGACUAGAGUGUGGUAGGGGUAGAGGGAAUUCCUAGUGUAGCGGUGAAAUGCGUAGAUAUUAGGAAGAACACCAGUGGCGAAGGCGCUCUACUGGGCCAUAACUGACACUGAUGGACGAAAGCUAGGGGAGCGAAAGGGAUUAGAUACCCCUGUAGUCCUAGCUGUAAACGAUGGACACUAGGUGUUGGCCGUAUCGACCCGGUCAGUAUCGAAGCAAACGCGUUAAGUGUCCCGCCUGGGGAGUACGCACGCAAGUGUGAAACUCAAAGGAAUUGACGGGGGCCCGCACAAGCGGUGGAGUAUGUGGUUUAAUUCGAUGCAACGCGAAGAACCUUACCAGGGUUUGACAUCCUACGAACUUUCCAGAGAUGGAUUGGUGCCUUCGGGAACGUAGAGACAGGUGGUGCAUGGCUGUCGUCAGCUCGUGUCGUGAGAUGUUGGGUUAAGUCCCGCAACGAGCGCAACCCUCGUCCUUAGUUGCCAUCAUUAAGUUGGGCACUUUAAGGAGACUGCCGGUGACAAACCGGAGGAAGGUGGGGAUGACGUCAAGUCAUCAUGCCCCUUACAUCCUGGGCUACACGCGUACUACAAUGCAACGGACAAAGGGCAGCCAACUAGCGAUAGUGAGCUAAUCCCAUAAACCGUUGCUCAGUUCAGAUUGCAGGCUGCAACUCGCCUGCAUGAAGGCGGAAUCGCUAGUAAUCGCAGAUCAGCAUACUGCGGUGAAUACGUUCCCGGGCCUUGCACACACCGCCCGU
rnacentral:rRNA from 1 species